GGAAUCUUCCACAAUGGACGCAAGUCUGAUGGAGCAACGCCGCGUGAGUGAAGAAGGGUUUCGGCUCGUAAAGCUCUGUUGUUAAAGAAGAACGUGGGUAAGAGUAACUGUUUACCCUGUGACGGUAUUUAACCAGAAAGCCACGGCUAACUACGUGCCAGCAGCCGCGGUAAUACGUAGGUGGCAAGCGUUGUCCGGAUUUAUUGGGCGUAAAGCGAGCGCAGGCGGUUUUUUAGGUCUGAUGUGAAAGCCUUCGGCUUAACCGGAGAAGUGCAUCGGAAACCGGGAGACUUGAGUGCAGAAGAGGACAGUGGAACUCCAUGUGUAGCGGUGAAAUGCGUAGAUAUAUGGAAGAACACCAGUGGCGAAGGCGGCUUACUGGACUGUAACUGACGUUGAGGCUCGAAAGUGUGGGUAGCAAACA
rnacentral:rRNA from 1 species